UACGUAGGCAGCGAGCGUUGUUCGGAAUUACUGGGCGUAAAGAGUGUGUAGGUGGUGCUCUAAGUUCGGUGUGAAAUCUCCCGGCUUAACUGGGAGGGUGCGGCGGAAACUGGGACGCUGGAGUGCGGGAGAGGUAAGCGGAAUUCCUGGUGUAGCGGUGAAAUGCGUAGAUAUCAGGAGGAACACCUGCGGUGUAGACGGCUUACUGGACCGUAACUGACGCUGAGGCACGAAAGCGUGGGUAGCAAACAGG
rnacentral:rRNA from 1 species